rnacentral:rRNA from 1 species
GGAAGGGUUGUAUUUAUUAGAUAAAAAACCAACGCCCUUCGGGGCUUCUUGGUGAUUCAUGAUAACUUCACGGAUCGCAUGGCCUUGCGCCGGCGACGGUUCAUUCAAAUUUCUGCCCUAUCAACUUUCGAUGGUAAGGUAUUGGCUUACCAUGGUUUCAACGGGUAACGGGGAAUUAGGGUUCGAUUCCGGAGAGGGAGCCUGAGAAACGGCUACCACAUCCAAGGAAGGCAGCAGGCGCGCAAAUUACCCAAUCCCGACACGGGGAGGUAGUGACAAUAAAUACUGAUACAGGGCUCUUUUGGGUCUUGUAAUUGGAAUGAGUACAAUUUAAACCUCUUAACGAGGAACAAUUGGAGGGCAAGUCUGGUGCCAGCAGCCGCGGUAAUUCCAGCUCCAAUAGCGUAUAUUAAAGUUGUUGCAGUUAAAAAGCUCGUAGUUGAAACUUGGGCCUGGCUGGCAGGUCCGCCUCACCGCGUGUACUUGUCCGGCCGGGCCUUUCCUUCUGGAGAACCUCAUGCCCUUCACUGGGUGUGUUGGGGAACCAGGACUUUUAC